rnacentral:lncRNA from 1 species
UAGAAGUGAGACAAAGCCAGCCAGCACACUUGCAUUUUUUGAGUGUACUUUCUCUCUCAUUUUGAACUAUCUUUUUAGAUCUUCAUGAGUUUUCUAUCCACAACAAUUCAUUUAUAGGAUUCAGAACAGCGUUGCAUUCAAUCCAAACUCCUGAGGCCACCAGCCAUGAACAUAGAGGUUAACUUGUGCUUGAUCAUGUAGCUUAUAGAGAUCAACUAUAUAUGCAUAGUUCAUGAAGGAAUUGUACAUAUUAUUUGUAGUUCAUAAAAGGACGCCUUCUAAUUAGGACUUGACUGAACUCCUUGAAGAAGAAGACUUCGAUAAUAACACUCCUAUCCUUAAAGUAGAUGCCUUCCACUACAUCCUCCAUAAGUAGAAGUGGUCCUUUCUCAUUUUGAACUAUCUUUUGAGAUCUUCAUGAGUUCUCUAUCCACAACAAUCCUCCAUUCCCACUAGCUGUGUCUCUUUAAAUCCUAACCCAGCAGUUGCAGCUUCAGUAAGUGUAGAAUGGAUGAAGGCAAUCAGACGAAGAGGCACUUGAAGACAGUGUGGGAGGAGGGCGCUGCCGAAGAAGGGCCGGAUGAUCUUGUGCGGCAACAGAAGAGAUCGAGAGGAAGGCCAAGGAAGAUGACCAAGGAAGAGUACUUAGUCAAAGGAAAGAGUGAAGCGGCAGACAAGGCGGAGGCAGUUGAGACCGCGGGGUCGUCUUCAUGCGACCGAGAGGCGGAGAAAGCCGACGAAGGCAAUCACCAUGCAUCUCCGGAGCUUGCCAAGAAGAGACGGCACCGCCGCAAGAGCUCUCCGAGGAGGGCAGCUAUGCAUGUAUAAAACAUGAUAUAUAGAUCAAACAGCUCGCAGCAGCAAAGAUCUCAUAAAGGAAUAUGAUACACUUUGAACUGUUUUUGCUAUCUUCUUCUGUGUGCUUCAGCCGAUAUGAUCCAACUCUUCAGAAGGAUCGUUCUACGGUCUCCUUCUUCGUCAUCCAAUACUGAUGCAGGACUGUUCCGCACAAGCUGGUUCACUGUGUCAUGUUUCUGCCAACUAAAGUCUCCUUCUCAUCUCAUCUUCAUCUCCCUACGUACUUCCCCCUUGGACAUUGCGCACACUCGUCAAAGUCUGCCAAACUUGUCCAUCUUUUGACGUUCAUGGACGACUUGGAUGCCAGCCAUGGAAUUCCUAAUCACACCGUGUCUCACUUUCGGGUAAUGUUAAUAUGUCAUUAUUUUAAUUAGCCCG